AGUGAACGCUGGCGGCGUGCCUAAUACAUGCAAGUCGAACGGAGUGGCGCACGGGUGAGGAAUAUAUAGCUAAACUGCCCCUUGCUGGAGGACAACAGUUAGAAAUGACUGCUAAUACUCCAUAGCAAGGGAUGAGACUAUAUCGUAUACGCUAGUCGGUGGGGUAACGGCCUACCGGGGCUAUGACGCGUCACUUGUCUGAGAGGAUGAUCAGUAACAUUGGAGCGGAGACACGGUUCAGACGCCUACGGGAGGGAGCGGAAGGGGAUUGUGCGCAAUGGGGGAAACCCUGACGCAGCAACGCCGCGUGGAGGAUGACACUUUUCGGAGCGUAAACUCCUUUUGUUAUGGAAGCGGUACCUAACGAAUAAGCACCGGCUAACUCCGUGCCAGCCGCCGCGGUAAUAC
rnacentral:rRNA from 1 species